rnacentral:rRNA from 1 species
CAAGGAAUUUUCCCCAAUGGGCGCAAGCCUGAGGGAGCAACGCCGCGUGCAGGACGACGGCCUUCGGGUUGUAAACUGCUUUUGCGUGGGACGAUAACGACGGUACCACGCGAAUCAGCCCCGGCUAACUCUGUGCCAGCAGCCGCGGUAAUACAGAGGGGGCAAGCGUUGUCCGGACUUACUGGGCGUAAAGCGUCCGUAGGCGGUUUAUCAAGUCAGUUGUUAAAGACUGCAGCUCAACUGUGGGCGAGCAACUGAAACUGAUGAACUAGAGUGCGGUAGGGGUAGAGGGAAUUCCCAGUGUAGCGGUGAAAUGCGUAGAUAUUGGGAAGAACACCAGUGGCGAAGGCGCUCUACUGGGCCGCAACUGACGCUGAGGGACGAAAGCUAGGGGAGCGAAAGGGAUUAGAUACCCCCGUAGUCC